UAAGUUAGAUGAUGCUCUUUGUCCGGUAGAGGAUGAUAUAGUUCAAGUUCGAGGCCUUGACAGAUUGAGAAACUUGGAAAUUCUGGGGGUAUUGGACUGUCAGUCCCUUGUAAGACCGGACCUCUCACAAUUAACACGUCUGAAGGAAUUAGGCCUUCGUGAAUGCCACAAUCUAGUCGAAAUCAAAGGCCUUGAAAGAUUGAAAGACUUGAGAUAUUUGGAUAUCGAGGGUUGCAGUUCCAUUGAAGCAUUACCAGACCUCUCGUGCUUUCAUAACCUGGAAGAAUUGAACAUCAAAGGGUGCUGGAAGCUUCGGGAUGUUCAGGGACUGGAGAAAGUCGCGAAUGUGGAAAAAUGAGGGAUUCAACUCCGACCCUCAGCAAAUUGUCCACAUCUGUCGAAUUUCGCAAAGAUUGAAUGAAAUGAUGGGGGUCAAUCUCGCAUGAUCUGGUGGAGAUCACAGAGCUCCAGGAAUCAAGGCAUCUAAACUCUAAAAGACAUCCAGCAAUGCAACUUAUCGGAUCUUCAUAUGUUCAUCGUUCUACUGCAGCAGAGAGAAACAACUGGUCCAUGAAAAGACUGCCCCGACGAGUCGAGCACUUUGGUAACACUGUCCGGAACGAUUCGCGUUUUGCUUUGAAAGUUCAAGGAAUGUAGAUUUCUGGUCAGCGGAAGUUGACACGAUGCUUCAGGGGCAUCGUGCUCUGGAUCGUUGGAGCAGUCAAUAAUGCAUUCACAAGGAAGAGUAGAAAGAUUUACCAAUGUUUUGAUAAAUCAGUGAAUUACCGACCUUUUCCAAAUUGUACAAGUGUAGCACUUCAAUAGAUUGUCAAUAGUUCCGAAUUUCUGCCAUUGUUAAAUUGUUUGCCGACUUAAGAGUUUUCCCUAAUUAAUGUAUUAAACAAUUGGAUUCUAGCAACAUACGAAGGAGGAGGUUUGAUAUUUAAUCACCGAAUAAAAAGAUGGAUUAUGUCCUUUUUGUCUCCUUUCCCAUUACAUAAAAAUGAUUAGGUUCAAUUUAACCAUUUUCCAUAACGACAGGAUAUGGUCUUCCUUCUCUUACGUGAUUCAAAGAACGGGGAAGGUGAUGGAGGAGUAUGACAUGAUGCUUCGGA